rnacentral:sRNA from 1 species
GCUGGGCAUGGUGGCACAUGCCUGUAAUCCCAGCAGUUUGGGAGGCUGAGGCAGGAGGAUUGCAGAUGUGAAGCUAGCCUCAGCAAUUUGGCGAGGCUGUAAGCAACCUAGUGAAACCCUGUCUCAA